rnacentral:rRNA from 1 species
CGUACACUCCUACGGGAGGCAGCAGUGGGGAAUAUUGGACAAUGGGGGCAACCCUGAUCCAGCCAUGCCGCGUGAGUGAUGAAGGCCCUAGGGUUGUAAAGCUCUUUUGUGCGGGAAGAUAAUGACGGUACCGCAAGAAUAAGCCCCGGCUAACUUCGUGCCAGCAGCCGCGGUAAUACGAAGGGGGCUAGCGUUGCUCGGAAUCACUGGGCGUAAAGGGUGCGUAGGCGGGUCUUUAAGUCAGGGGUGAAAUCCUGGAGCUCAACUCCAGAACUGCCUUUGAUACUGAGGAUCUUGAGUCCGGAAGAGGUGAGUGGAACUGCGAGUGUAGAGGUGAAAUUCGUAGAUAUUCGCAAGAACACCAGUGGCGAAGGCGGCUCACUGGUCCGGUACUGACGCUGAGGCACGAAAGCGUGGGGAGCAAACAGGAUUAGAAACCCCUGUAGUCCC